rnacentral:rRNA from 1 species
GUCGAGGGGCAUCACNAGGUAGCAAUACUUUGGUGGCGACCGGCGCACGGGUGCGUAACGCGUAUGUAACCUACCUAUAACAGGGGCAUAACACUGAGAAAUUGGUACUAAUUCCCCAUAAUAUUCGGAGAGGCAUCUCUCCGGGUUGAAAACUCCGGUGGUUAUAGAUGGACAUGCGUUGUAUUAGCUAGUUGGUGAGGUAACGGCUCACCAAGGCAACGAUACAUAGGGGGACUGAGAGGUUAACCCCCCACACUGGUACUGAGACACGGACCAGACUCCUACGGGAGGCAGCAGUGAGGAAUAUUGGUCAAUGGACGCAAGUCUGAACCAGCCAUGCCGCGUGCAGGAAGACGGCUCUAUGAGUUGUAAACUGCUUUUGUACGAGGGUAAACUCACCUACGUGUAGGUGACUGAAAGUAUCGUACGAAUAAGGAUCGGCUAACUCCGUGCCAGCAGCCGCGGUAAUACGGAGGAUUCAAGCGUUAUCCGGAUUUAUUGGGUUUAAAGGGUGCGUAGGCGGUUUGAUAAGUUAGAGGUGAAAUCCCGGGGCUUAACUCCGGAACUGCCUCUAAUACUGUUAGACUAGAGAGUAGUUGCGGUAGGCGGAAUGUAUGGUGUAGCGGUGAAAUGCUUAGAGAUCAUACAGAACACCGAUUGCGAAGGCAGCUUACCAAACUAUAUCUGACGUUGAGGCACGAAAGCGUGGGGAGCAAACAGGAUUAGAUACCCUGGUAGUCCACGCAGUAAACGAUGAUAACUCGUUGUCGGCGAUACACAGUCGGUGACUAAGCGAAAGCGAUAAGUUAUCCACCUGGGGAGUACGUUCGCAAGAAUGAAACUCAAAGGAAUUGACGGGGGCCCGCACAAGCGGAGGAACAUGUGGUUUAAUUCGAUGAUACGCGAGAAACCUUACCCGGGCUUGAAAGUUAUUGACGAUUCUGGAAACAGGAUUUCCCUUUGGGGCAGGAAACUAGGUGCUGCAUGGUUGUCGUCAGCUCGUGCCGUGAGGUGUCGGGUUAAGUCCCAUAACGAGCGCAACCCCUACCGUUAGUUGCCAUCAGGUCAAGCUGGGCACUCUGGCGGGACUGCCGGUGUAAGCCGAGAGGAAGGUGGGGAUGACGUCAAAUCAGCACGGCCCUUACGUCCGGGGCUACACACGUGUUACAAUGGUAGGUACAGAGGGUCGCUACCCCGCGAGGGGAUGCCAAUCUCGAAAGC